rnacentral:rRNA from 1 species
GACGAACGCUGGCGGCGUGCUUAACACAUGCAAGUCGAACGGAGUGGCGAAAGGGUGAGUAACACGUGGGUGAUCUGUCUUGCACAUCGGGAUAAGCUUGGGUAACUGGGUCUAAUACCGGAUAGUGCAAGAUGAGCUCGCGGCCUAUCAGCUUGUUGGUGGGGUAAUGGCCUACCAAGGUGUCGACGGGUAGCCGUCCUGAGAGGGUGGACGGACAAAUUGGGACUGGGAGACGGGCCAGACUCUUACGGGAGGAAGCAGGGGGGAAGAUUGCACAAUGGGCGGCAGCCUGAUGUAGCGACGCCGGGUGGGGGAUGAAUGCCUUCGGGUUGUAAACUUCUGCCGACAGGGACGCGGUACCUGCAUAAGAAGCACCGGCUAACUACGUGCCAGCAGCCGCGGUAAUAC